AGGAAAAGGCAUGGGACAGAUUUAGGGAUGCCGAGGUCUGUUCAUUGUAGGUCCUCUUUUGAAAGUGGGUUUUCGGUGCCCAAACCAGCCGGUUAUUCGCCACUGAUGCUUGUUAUGAGGCUCUUUCGCAUUCGUUUUGACUAGGGAAAUAUCCACCAAAAUCCAUUUUCGCUUCAUCUUUCUCAAAACGACAUCCUGGAGCUUUAGAUGAUUUUUCCAUCAUAAGCCUUUUAAAAUAUAUUUAUAUAUAUGAAUACGUCUGAAAAGGUUUGGGCCAGCCCGGCUCGGCUUCACGGCACGCAGCAGUAAAUAUAAAUGGAACUUGCCUGAGGAAAGCAAGGAGUAGAUGGAAGUAACUCAGUCUAUGGAGAAGAGGACAAGGAACAACCACCGUCUCUAUUUAACCCCCGGGGACGGUCCGGCCCUCCUUGCAAACAGGCCUGAUUUAUUAUUGCUGAACCUCUUCCUUCAAUAUGGAGAUGACAGAUUGUAUUUUGCUUGUAAGCAAAGGCGUCUUGAAUCCUUGCCAUACCAAAUAUGAGUCUACCCUGGUCUGGGUGUUAUUUUUCCUUCUGCUGCCUUUUCUCUAAUUUCGUCUUUUUAGGGUGGGGGUGGGGAGAAGCGACCAUUUUCUGCCAUUGUGAACAGCUACUGACUUGUCUGCUUUGACCCCGAGAGGAAAAGUGUGGGUGUCGCUUGGAGGCCUUUUUCCAAGGUCCUCGCUCAGCUCAGAGACCAGAAGGAAUCGCUUCCCGGGAACGGCUGGCCUUCUCCAGCAGAAGGAGCCCAACAUGGCGAAGGCAAAGAACAGCCUGCAAGCGCGACCCGGCUCAACUCCAGGCCUCCAGAGGAGACCACCCCCCACCCCCCACCGAUGCAAAGCGGCAGCACCUGAGCUCCCUUUACCGGCUGAGCCGUCUCUGACCAAACGCUGCAACAACCAGGACUAGAAGAAGGAAACACUCAUGGGCCUCUGGCGGGGUCAGGUUUUGCAAAAAGAAGAAAUCUGCAAAUCCUCAACUCUAGUCGUAAAGGGCGGAGGCUUCUUGCAUAUUUCCAUCGCCCCGAGCUGCCCGUUGUUAUUUGCAGCAGACAAAUGAAUGCUCGGAAGCCCAGCCAAAGAAACGAGGAAGAGUUGGAAGCACGGGUAAUAUUAUGGACGAUUUAUGUAUUCAGAAACCGAAUUGACAGGACGGGCACAGAUGCCUUCUCUCCUCCGUUACUCAACCUUCUCUUUUAAAGGCAAAGGAUCGUAUUUUAACUCUGUAUUAUUCAGAAUAAAAACUUUAUUUUUUUCAGAAUGUGAGCAGCAAGGAAUGUAUAACUUUCAAAACAAAUCUAGCUUUUUUCUUGUUCCUGUUUACACAUUUCCCGUUUAGUUUGAUGUUACAGACAUCCAUUUUUUUUGUUCCUGUGGCAGCCUGUCGUUUGCUUUCCAGAUUUUAUUGCAUUUUAUUUUUAAAUAAAGGAGUUCUAGCUUCCUUUUCAAACGA